rnacentral:rRNA from 1 species
UACGUAGGUGGCAAGCGUUGUCCGGAAUUAUUGGGCGUAAAGCGCGCGCAGGCGGUCCUUUAAGUCUGAUGUGAAAGCCCACGGCUCAACCGUGGAGGGUCAUUGGAAACUGGGGGACUUGAGUACAGAAGAGAAGAGUGGAAUUCCACGUGUAGCGGUGAAAUGCGUAGAGAUGUGGAGGAACACCAGUGGCGAAGGCGGCCCGCUGGGCAGUGGCUGACGCUGAGGCGCGACAGCGUGGGGAGCAAACAGG